rnacentral:rRNA from 1 species
GAAUAUUGGACAAUGGGGGCAACCCUGAUCCAGCGAUGCCGCGUGUGUGAAGAAGGCCUUCGGGUUGUAAAGCACUUUAGUUGGGGAAGAAGAUUUGUAGUUUAAGAGAUGACAAAUUUGACGGUACCCAAAGAAUAAGCACCGGCUAACUCUGUGCCAGCAGCCGCGGUAAUACAGAGGGUGCGAGCGUUAAUCGGAAUUACUGGGCGUAAAGGGCGCGUAGGUGGUUUUGUAAGUGCAUUGUGAAAUACCCGGGCUUAACCUGGGGAGGUCAAUGCAAACUGUGGAACUAGAGUACAGUAGAGGGUGGCGGAAUUUCCGGUGUAGCGGUGAAAUGCGUAGAGAUCGGAAGGAACAUCAGUGGCGAAGGCGGCCACCUGGACUGAUACUGACACUGAGGCGCGAGAGCGUGGGGAGCAAAC